rnacentral:rRNA from 1 species
AGAGAUGGAUUGGGUGCCGUUCGGGAACUCUGACACAGGUGCUGCAUGGCUGUCGUCAGCUCGUGUCGUGAGAUGUUGGGUUAACGUCCCGUAACGAGCGCAACCCUUGUCCUUAGUUACCAGCACGUUAUGGUGGGCACUCUAAGGAGACUGCCGGUGACAAACCGGAGGAAGGUGGGGAUGACGUCAAGUCAUCAUCGGCCCUUACGGCCUGGGCUACACACGUGCUACAAUGGUCGGUACAAAGGGUUGCCAAGCCGCGAGGUGGAGCUAAUCCCAUAAAACCGAUCGUAGUCCGGAUCGCAGUCUGCAACUCGACUGCGUGAAGUCGGAAUCGCUAGUAAUCGUGAAUCAGAAUGUCACGGUGAAUACGUUCCCGGGCCUU